CUUUGGCCUGCGUUUGCAGUGGCAAGUGGGAAAACCGGACGGAUGGAGGCAAGGACCCUCUACUUCAGUGGAAGGUGCGUCCAGACUCCCUCUCUUCCAAGACAGAAGCUCCCUGACGAAGCCCCGGAGACGCCCUGAUAUGCUUCCUAUGUCCCAG